AUGGUAAAACCGCGAAUGGCUCAUUAAAUCAGCUAUGGUUCCUUAGAUCUUACAUCCAUACUUGGAUAACUGUAGUAAUUCUAGAGCUAAUACAUGCCGAAAAGCUCUGACUUAACAGUAGAGUGGCUUUAUUAGAACAAGACCAACCGGCUGCGGCUGUUGGUUUGAUGACUCUGGAUAACUUUUCUGAUCGCACGGCCAAGCGCCAGCGACGUAUCUUUCAAAUGUCUGCCCUAUCAACUAUCGAUGGUAGGUGAUAUGCCUACCAUGGUUAUGACGGGUAACGGGGAAUCAGGGUUCGAUUCCGGAGAGGGAGCCUUAGAAAUGGCUACCACAUCUAAGGAAGGCAGCAGGCGCGCAAAUUACCCACUCUCAGCUAGAGGAGGUAGUGACGAAAAAUAACGAUGCGGGACUCAUUUGAGGCUCCGCAAUUGGAAUGAGAACAAUUUAAAUCCUUUAACGAGGAACAAUUGGAGGGCAAGUCUGGUGCCAGCAGCCGCGGUAACUCCAGCUCCAAAGCGUAUAU
rnacentral:rRNA from 1 species